AAAGAAUGCUAUCGGGCGACGGACUCCUUCUUGGUAUUGAACCAGGACUGCUCCUGCAGCGACGGCUGACGCAUCGGAUUCUAUCACGAACUGCUGGCUAAAAUCUGGAUUAGCAAGCACUGGUGGCGACGUCUGACGGAUUACCCGACUUCACGAAUAUUCGCCCGAUUAUCCGACGAACGAUGUAAAUAUCUACAAUACCGACGAUUUCUAAGCGUAUCCCAAUUCAAUUCAUGUGAGUACUAAUCUACAAACGAGUUCCUAGAAUAAGCCAAAUCCUUCGCAUGCACCGUCAAAGAAAAAAAAAAAAACUUCAAACUCAAUUUAAAAAAAACCUAUAAUUUGUUCGCACGCCCUAAAUUUUCAAAAGGCCCCACGUUGGGCGCCAGAAUGUAACGGUUCAGAUUUAGGUUGGAUUCGACUUUGGUUUUUACCUCAACUGACUUCACUUAAGCGCCAAGCAGACGAUCAAUCGUGUGCUUGUGAAGCAGCAAUAUCCAAUGCCCAGCGAGACUCAGGGCGAGUCCAUCAAACACGUGAAAACUGAAUUCGAACCGACCUAUCUCACCACAACCCGACCCCACGAAAGGCAAAAAUCAAAAUUAGAGAAACGAACUGAAUUUCAUCAAAAGUCUUUCGUCAUCUAAGGUAAACUCGCAAACAUUCAAAUUUUACAGUGUAUUGAACCCUUGUUCCUAUCCUCCUAAAUUCCAAUAGGAAUUCUCAUGCGCACGGCCGUGCUAUUACUUGGUCCCUUAUGUGUUCGUAGGUAGUCACAUACAAAUACGCUCAGUUCACUACUAGGCUCUUAAGCUAAUCUGACCUUGAUAUAUCGGUUGACUCGAGCUCAGGCGACGUCCAACGGUGGUGGUGAUGGUGAUGGAGACGCAGGGUCGAUGGUGAGGCAGCGGAGCGCUGCAGUAUUGGUAGAGUGCUGUCGGACACGAUGCUGGCAGUGGUGCGUGUCCUGGCUUUUGGAGUCUAUGCCGACACACGCAUGCAAGUUCGAUUGGACUACGAACCGCCAACUGUCUCGAGGCUAUGUGUGUGAAUGCCGCUGGUGAUUGGCUUCCAGACGGUUAUUCUCGGGAGUCGUGGAGAUCUCCCAGGCCCGUAGGUGCGACGGUGGGUCACUGGCCGGACAACGAGGCCUAUAGCCUACAAGCCGCCAAGCUUCUGGAUCCACCCAGAAGAUUCGUAGUGGUCGAAUCUCCCUACAACCUACCUCCGGUUCUAGAACCCGGCAGGAACACCUUCGCGUGAAGGAUGGGGUUCCUUCACGAGAAAAAGAAGAAAGCACAUACACGAAAAGAUUAGCACCCAUCAUCUACAUCGACAGCACAAAUUAUCCACUGAGCAUACAAUAGUACAAACAAUUACCUGAGCCUCGAGCAGCCGAUUCAAGGGAUUUUAGCUGGAAUGAUGACGUCAGCAACUAUCUUAAAGAUCUACAAAGUACACAUAUCACAUUAAAGACUCUACAGCAUCAUGAUGGCGGUUGUGAUGCACUUACAGUGGAAAUCUACGAUUUCUUGCACUUGGGCCUAUAUUAGCUUCCACAAUUUUUUUAAGAUUCCGAUUUCUAAAAUAAUUUAGGAUAUUACAAUAUUUUCAACAGAAUCACUACUGACCCUUUUUUAACUCACAGAACGUUUUCAAACGGCUAACAGUCACUUCAACUUUUUCAAAAAAACUUCCACUGAACAAUUUUGGACCACGUCCGCUUUGUAUCACCGUUUGAUUCGGAAAGACUCUUGAUAAGAUUUUUUUGUCCUUUGGAUAAUAGAUUAUUACAUAAUAGAUGAUUAUACACAAUGCAUAAUCCGUUAAAAUAACUCAUCAGUCUGAAGAACUGAAUCUAAGAAAUUGAGUGAGUUCAUAGCUGCUUUGAGAUAGGAGAUGGGUGGUUUCAAUAUCGACCACCGAGCGGCGCUAUCGUCGUAUAAAAUAUGGCUUGAAUAUGUCUGCUUCGUUUAGGGUACGAUUUAGAUCUGACUUUUCAUGGCGAAAAGAUAAUCAAUCGAGAUUAUUGAAACGAGCAAUUAAUUGUAAUAUUGUAACCACGUUACAA